AACGAACGCUGGCGGCAGGCCUAACACAUGCAAGUCGAACGGUCUCUUCGGAGGCAGUGGCAGACGGGUGAGUAACGCGUGGGAAUCUACCUAGUUCUACGGAACAACAGAGGGAAACUUCUGCUAAUACCGUAUACGCCCUACGGGGGAAAGAUUUAUCGGAAUUAGAUGAGCCCGCGUAAGAUUAGCUAGUUGGUGGG
rnacentral:rRNA from 1 species